GUUGUGGCUCAGUGGCAGAACACCUGCUUUGCAUGCAGAAGGUCCCUGGUUCAAUCCGUGAUAGAGACG